UACGGAGGGUGCUAGCGUUGUUCGGAAUCACUGGGCGUAAAGGGCGUGUAGGCGGUCUGUUAAGUCUGAUGUGAAAUCCCCUCGCUCAACGAGGGAACUGCGUCGGAUACUGGCAGACUUGAGUACCGGAGAGGAAGGUGGAAUUCCCGGUGUAGCGGUGAAAUGCGUAGAUAUUGGGAGGAACACCAGUGGCGAAGGCGGCUCACUGGACCGGAACUGACGCUGAGGCGCGAAAGCGUGGGGAGCAAACGGG
rnacentral:rRNA from 1 species